CUCAAGAUUUUUAUUAUCAACAGUCUCAUCUUCUUGUUCUUUCUUCUUCUUCCUUCGUCGCCUUGAAAAAAACACAAAGUUUCAAUCUUUCUUCAACAGUCAACCCUAAUUUGACUUCUUUUCGGAAAUUGCUUUUUUUUUUUUUCUCUGUUUUGGGUUUUUUGAAUUUUUGGAAUUGGAUUAAUGUUUGAGCUAUGGACAUAACCCCAGCUGCUACCAAGUCUCCUGAAACUGAGAGUACUGAAACGGCGGCGGCCACGAAGGUCCUUCCAGCGAAGCAUUUGAGUUUUACCAACGGGGUGUUGAAGCGCCACCAGGGUCUUCAUCAUCAUCAUCACCACCACCACGGCGGCGGCGGUCAUCAUCAUCAUCAUCAUCAGCCUAUUGUUAUUACUUACAAAGAAUGUCUAAAGAAUCAUGCGGCCAGCUUAGGUGGGCAUGCUUUAGACGGGUGUGGAGAGUUCAUGCCUUCUCCGACUGCCACGUCAACCGACCCCACCUCCCUUAAAUGUGCCGCGUGUGGCUGUCACCGUAACUUCCACCGUCGGGAGCCAGAUGACCCGUCGUCGUUUGCCGUCGCGACCCCCCACGGAAUUGCUAAUCCUAAUACAAUCACAACUGCCACAAUUGAGUACCAGCCUCUCCACCGUCACCAUCCUUCUCCGCCACCGUCUUCCCAAGCUCUUCAUCCGCCGCAGAGAAGCCCCAGUUCUUCCUCCCCGCCGCCGAUCUCGUCGUCUUACUACCCUUCAGCCCCUCAGAUGCUGCUUGCUCUAUCAGGGAACCUGAGAGGGCACGAAAAUGUGAUGACUAAUGUGGGAAAUGUCGGGGCGAGUUCGAGGAAAAGGUUUAGAACAAAGUUCAGUCAGAGCCAGAAGGAGAGAAUGUUCGAGUUUGCAGAGAGUGUGGGUUGGAAAAUGCAAAAAAGAGAUGAUGAAAUGGUGCAGACAUUUUGUAACGACGUUGGAAUCGAUAGAACUGUGUUGAAGGUGUGGAUGCACAAUAACAAGAACACUUUUCUGAAAAAGGAAAAUCUUGGAGGAGAAAAAAUCAAUCUUGAAAGAAAUGGCAACAAUGGUGGUGGUGAAGAAGGAGACGAGAAUAAUAUUGCGACAACCACUACUACAGAAAACAAUAAUGUUUAUAUUAAAAGUGAAAACAUUGCACAUGUUGCCAGUGGCGGCGGCGUUGGCGGCGGCGGCGGUGGUGCCAGGGCCAAUGGGUCAUCUUCUUCAUCUUGAGCAAUGUUUUGAUGGGAAAAAUAAGUGUUAGAUGAUAGAAUGACGAUGGUGAUGCAGAUGACGAUUGGAGUCCUUUAAUGUUGAGUGUCUUGUUGUCUUCAACCUCCUUGAUGUGGGUUUGUUUUGGUUUUUGGUCAUUGAUGAAGUCAGUAAUCUUGUUUCUGUUGAGGCAUCAUCAUCUUUUUGGCUCUACUGCCAAAGCAUGGGCUAGCUGGCUUUUCCCUCAGUCUUCCCCCCUGCAACCAGCUUCAUCAAAGUGGGAACAAAGAGGGCAUGGGCACUGUUGAUAUAGCUGGCGAUUUUUGGGACUUUUUGUAAGAGGGAAAUGGGUAGUAGCAGCAGCACACAAAAGAUAUAUUAUAAUGUUCUGAUUCAGGGUCAAAUCAAGAAAUAUGGAAAUCCCAAUUAGCAGCAAAGAGAGAGAGAGAUUGGCAAUCUAAUCUAAUCUAAUAUAAAGCAUGCUUUGAAGAUCAAAUCUCUCUUUCUCAUAUCUGAUUUCUAUCUUUCUCUCUCUUGGAUGAUUGAAUUUGAAUGAAUGCUUUGUGAAGACUUGAGAAAUAAAUGUCACCAAAUUACUUAUUGCA